rnacentral:lncRNA from 1 species
CCUUGGACGAGGUAUGAAAACAUUAGAUAUUUCACGAAAACUUAAGCGUGAUCAUGGCACUAUUAAGAGAUUUGUGGCUGAUUCAGAGCACAGACGGGUUCGUGCAGAUAAAGGCACAUUGAGGAAGAUUUCUGCAAGAUUCAUGCAUCGGAUCAAGAGAGCAGCUGCUAAAAUACCAUUACAUAGCAGCAAACAUAUAUUUGAAGCUGCUGGUGCCUCUGGAG